UUAAGAGAAUGCCUCUGUCAUUACCCGCCAUGAGCGGAUAUGGGAAUGCAAUUGUAGA
rnacentral:ncRNA from 1 species